rnacentral:rRNA from 1 species
CGCCGCGGUAAUACGUAGGGGGCGAGCGUUGUCCGGAAUUAUUGGGCGUAAAGCGCGCGUAGGCGGCUGGUUAAGUCCUGUGUGAAAGACCACGGCUCAACCGUGGGGGUGCACGGGAAACUGGCCGGCUUGAGUGCAGGAGAGGGGAGCGGAAUUCCCGGUGUAGCGGUGGAAUGCGUAGAGAUCGGGAGGAACACCAGUGGCGAAGGCGGCUCCCUGGCCUGUAACUGACGCUGAGGCGCGAAAGCGUGGGGAGCGAACAGGAUUAGAUACCCUGGUAGUCCACGCCGUAAACGAUGAGUGCUAGGUGUUGGGGGCGUCAGGCCCUCUGUGCCGAAGGUAACCCAAUAAGCACUCCGCCUGGGGAGUACGGCCGCAAGGCUGAAACUCAAAGGAAUUGACGGGGGCCCGCACAAGCGGUGGAGCAUGUGGUUUAAUUCGAAGCAACGCGAAGAACCUUACCAGGGCUUGACAUCCCGCUGACCGGUGCAGAGAUGCGCCUUUCCCUUCGGGGACAGCGGUGACAGGAGGUGCAUGGCC